rnacentral:lncRNA from 1 species
AUGGGGGUGUCCUGUGGGAAAAGGGGUGUCCGUGUGGGAAAUGGGGUGUCCGAAUGGGAAAAGGGGUGUCCGUGUGGGAAAAGGGAUGUCCGUGUGGGAAAAGGGGGUGUCCCGGUGGGAAAAGGGGUGUCCUGUGGGAAAGGGGGUGUCCUGUGGGAAAAAGGGGUGUCCGUGUGGGAAAAGGGGUGUUCCGGUGGGAAAAGGGGUGUCCGUGUGGGAAAAGGGGUGUCCCGGUGGGAAAAGGGGUUUUCGUGUGGGAAAAGGGGUGUCCGAAUGGGAAAAGGGGUGUCCGUGUGGGAAAGGGGGUGUCCCGGUGGCACAGGUCCUGCUGAGGGAUGCUGUCCUGCCCAGGGAUGGGGAUCCGGCCGGGGAGGGGUGUCAGGAGUGUCCAGGCCGGGAGGUUCCCCUGCCCUGCCCUGGGCUGGUGCCGUGCCGUGCCGUGCCGUGCCGUGCCGUGCCGUGCCGUGCCGUGCCGUGCCGUGCCGUGGUUCUGCCGCCCAGGCGAGCGGCGGCCUCGGCACUGAUCCCACCGGAGCCGCGCACGGAGCGCUGCGGUCAGACCGGGCCCGGCCAUGGACAGCGGGACCGCGGAUGUCGCCUCUGGGUAACCCUUGGACUGGCCUGCACUCGGUCCUGCCCUUAGGAAAGCCCGACCUUCUGUGGAAGACUGCGAAAAUUCCUACAGACAAAAAUCAGGCUUCUAAACAGAAAGGUUCUCCAGGCAGAGGACUUUGCCUACAAGAACUGAGCACCCUGGUAGCCUCUCCCUGGCUCACGGAGCGAGGCUGUGACAGAGGAUGGCAGGAGCUAUUCUGA